UACGAAGGGGGCUAGCGUUGCUCGGAAUCACUGGGCGUAAAGCGCACGUAGGCGGAUUGCUAAGUCAGGGGUGAAAUCCUGGAGCUCAACUCCAGAACUGCCUUCGAUACUGGAAAGCUCGAGUCCGGGAGAGGUGAGUGGAACUGCGAGUGUAGAGGUGAAAUUCGUAGAUAUUCGCAAGAACACCAGUGGCGAAGGCGGCUCACUGGCCCGGUACUGACGCUGAGGUGCGAAAGCGUGGGGAGCAAACAGGGAUUAAGAAACC
rnacentral:rRNA from 1 species